GACGUAGGGCGCGAGCGUUGUCCGGAUUUAUUGGGCGUAAAGAGCUCGUAGGCGGUCUGUCGCGUCGGCUGUGAAAACUCGGGGCUCAACUCCGAGCCUGCAGUCGAUACGGGCAGACUAGAGUGCGGUAGGGGAGACUGGAAUUCCUGGUGUAGCGGUGAAAUGCGCAGAUAUCGGGAGGAACACCGGUGGCGAAGGCGGUUCUCUGGGCCUGUACUGACGCUGAGGAGCGAAAGCGUGGGGAGCGAACAGG
rnacentral:rRNA from 1 species